rfam:Ciona savignyi cont_24199, whole genome shotgun sequence.
UCCUCGUUAGUAUAGUGGUGAGUAUCCCCGCCUGUCACGCGGGAGACCUGGGUUCGAUUCCCCGACGGGGAG